UACAGAGGUCCCAAGCGUUGUUCGGAUUCACUGGGCGUAAAGGGUGCGUAGGUGGUCAGGUAAGUCUGAUGUGAAAUCUCUGGGCUCAACCCAGAAACUGCAUUGGAUACUAUCUGGCUAGAGGAGUGGAGGGGGGACUGGAAUACUUGGUGUAGCAGUGAAAUGCGUAGAUAUCAGGAGGAACACCGGUGGUGUAGACGGCUUUCUGGACCGUAACUGACGCUGAGACACGAAAGCGUGGGUAGCAAACAGG
rnacentral:rRNA from 1 species